AGAGCGAACGCUGGCGGCAGGCUUAACACAUGCAAGUCGAGCGGGCGUAGCAAGUACGUCAGCGGCAGACGGGUGAGUAACGCGUGGGAACGUACCUUUUGGUUCGGAACAACCCAGGGAAACUUGGGCUAAUACCGGAUAAGCCCUUACGGGGAAAGAUUUAUCGCCGAAAGAUCGGCCCGCGUCUGAUUAGCUAGUUGGUGAGGUAAUGGCUCACCAAGGCGACGAUCAGUAGCUGGUCUGAGAGGAUGAUCAGCCACAUUGGGACUGAGACACGGCCCAAACUCCUACGGGAGGCAGCAGUGGGGAAUAUUGGACAAUGGGCGCAAGCCUGAUCCAGCCAUGCCGCGUGAGUGAUGAAGGCCCUAGGGUUGUAAAGCUCUUUUGUGCGGGAAGAUAAUGACGGUACCGCAAGAAUAAGCCCCGGCUAACUUCGUGCCAGCAGCCGC
rnacentral:rRNA from 1 species